AUGGUCAGUAUCCCGGUCUUGGCACUACCGGAUUUUUCACGCCCGUUUUCCAUCGAAACGGAUGCUUGCGACACUGGAGUGGGCGCGGUGCUGGUCCAAGAUGGUCACCUAGUGGCAUACCUCAGCAAAGCAUUGGGGGUCCGCAAUCAGCGUCUGUCCAUCUACGAGAAAGAGUUUCUCGCUGUCAUCAUGGCCGUUGACAAAUGGCGUGCCUAUCUGCAGAGAGCCCCCUUCGUCAUUAUCACUGAUCACAAAAGUUUGUGCAGUUUGGGAGAUCAAUAGUUGGAAACAGAGCUUUAGCGCAUGGCUAUGUCAAAAAUGGUGGGGUUACAGUUCUCCUUCAGAUAUCGCCGGGGCCAAGACAACGGCGCGGCUGAUGCCUUGUCCCGC
rnacentral:rRNA from 1 species